ACCGGUGCCAAAAACAUAAAGGCCAUCGGUUUGAACCGGUGCCCUUGUGAACCGGCCUUAUAUUUACUAAAAAAAACGCGGCUCUCCUCAUUCCCCUAACCCUAAUUCUUCAUUCCCCUCUUUCUCUCUCCUCUCCUCCUCUUUCUCUCGCCGUUUCUCUCUCCUCUCCUCCUCCUUCUUUCUCCUGCUCCCCUAACUCCUCCUUCUCUAUCUUUCUCUUUCUCGAUCUCCUUCUCCCUCACCUCCUUCUCCACCACGAAGCUAAGAACAUCACUUUCACCACCACGAUGUCCUCCUUCUUUCUUUGAUUCGAAGACCAAAACUUUCACCACCACAAAGUUCAUUUUAAUCGAAGACCACCACAUGCAACACCAUUUUAAUCGAAGACCGCCACCAAUUCGAGGUAUAUUGAUGCAAGAAUCAAGAUGCAAGUUUUAUUGUGAUGUUGUAAUUUUUUUUUUGAUUUAUGCUGUAAUUUUUUUUUUGAUUUAUACUGUAAUUUUUUUUUUGGAUUUAUACUGUAAUUUUUUUUUUAAAUUUAUAUGUUGUAAUUUAUCUAUAUUGAUUGAUAUUCGAUUUACAUUUUGUAA